CUGGUUUCCAAAUAUGAAAUAAGCUGAGGGUGUUUCUUGGGAAACAGAAUGAUUUUGUGUGACUUUGCCUUACGCUGGGGCCGCCAUUCUUAGGCUUCACUGCUAGGAUCUGGGUUGUCCUGGAGGCUUUUAAAAGUCCCAAAUCUUCUCUCUUAACACUCCCCUUGAGUUUCCAAGUUCUCAGUCUUUGGUGCAACACCCCUCUGUGGCCCCAGCAUUUGUUGACUAUUUAAUGUUUUUCUUUAAAAUACGCUGCUUAAAUGGGGAACCACUUGGACACUAGGAAUGCAAAACAGUAUAAUUUCCUAUCAGUAGAAGAUAACUGCUACCAGGGAGCAUCACACCAGGGAAGGCCUGAUGUCACCAGGUCCAUUGUGAGGGAUGUUGGUGUGGGUGGGGAAGGGGCUGAAGGUCCUUGUGAGCUGAGACUCCCCUUAAAGUACAGAAAGUCUGCAAGAGAUGUGCUCAGGGAAACUCUCCUCCCUGCACCAUGCAAUGGUAUUUACAACCUAGUUAAAUGACACCAAAACUAUCAGGCCUGUCACCUAAAAUUCUGUCUUUUGUCACCAGGUGAUGUGCUGCACAAUUUGUGGCUGACAUUGGAUCUGUGUUCAGUGUCCAAUUCUGGAUUUGCUCAGAUAGUAAGCAGCCACAUUUUGCCCAACCCUCAGUCCCGGGCAUGGAUCACAAUUGGUUUAACCCACGAUUGGCCUCAUUACAACUUAGCUCCAAGAUGCUGCCGUCAGGGGCUCUUGAGGGCUGCAAUCUUCUUGAGGGAGAUAUAGAGUAAUCGAAGCAGGUGCCAGAGCCAUCACAACAUUGAGGAGGGGGAUGGACCAAAAGGAGGGAAAACAAAAUAAAUUUUAGGUGAUUUUUUCUUCCUUUUUUCUUCAUUAGUCUGUUAAAUAUUUAAUGAUCACCUGCUAAGUACCAGGCACUUUACAAUCCCAAUCUGGAGGGACAGCUCCCUUGUUUUCAUCUUUCAGUGGUGUUUAAUUCUGCUCAGUGAUGCUUUGCUGCCUAAGGUCACUUGCUCUCUGGAAUCUGAAGCCUGGGCUCUCUGGUUGAUGUUUCAUGCUCUUCAUAUGGGAAAUACCGUCGGCGCCAAGUGGAGUCUUGGACAGAGUGAAAUGACAGAAAGGAAGGAAAUGGAUGUCCCCUCUCUCCUCAUCUCUGUUAGCUCAGCCCAGCCUGUUGCCCCUUUCCUAGAAAUUAGACCUCACUGGCACCAAGUCCUCUUUUGUCAAUGAUGCCUCCCGAAGAUGGUACCAGUAUUGGGUGGUUAUGGACCUGUUAUGAUGGGUGGUCAUGUGCAGGGGAAGGGGUAGCCUCAUCUGAGAAUUUUUCUUUUCUAUUUGGGUGUCACUUCCCACUGCUAAUUAGCAAAGUGACCCAGCAAACAAGUUGCUAUGGCUUAAAUAUGAUGUGUAGCCCCCAAAUCAUACAGUUUAACCCCAAAAAUCUUAUAUCAGUGGUAUGGAGAGGUAGAGACUGGAUCUAGCUGUGGUGUCUAGAGGUGAGACCUUUUAAAAAUGACUGUAUUAGAUAGGUCAUCAGGGUGGAGUCCCCAUGAUUGGAUCCUAGUGGCUGUAUAAGUAGGGGGUAGGCCACAGACCCAGGGAUGCAAGCAAGCUCCUGCCAUGAUGAGAUGCAGCCACAGG
rnacentral:lncRNA from 1 species